UACGUAGGGUGCAAGCGUUAAUCGGAAUUACUGGGCGUAAAGCGUGCGCAGGCGGCUAUGCAAGACAGAUGUGAAAUCCCCGGGCUCAACCUGGGAACUGCAUUUGUGACUGCAUGGCUAGAGUACGGUAGAGGGGGAUGGAAUUCCGCGUGUAGCAGUGAAAUGCGUAGAUAUGCGGAGGAACACCGAUGGCGAAGGCAAUCCCCCUGGACCUGUACUGACGCUCAUGCACGAAAGCGUGGGGAGCAAACAGG
rnacentral:rRNA from 1 species